rnacentral:rRNA from 1 species
AUGGGACAAAGUCAGUUUUUAUCUGACAAAGAUAUUGCAGAGUGCUUUAUUUCUAAUACAGCUUCAGCGCACACGGAGAUUGGGCGAAACAGCACGCCCCCCCUCUGCUGGGCAUGCCUCUCCGCAGCCUCGGGCCUCACCUCCAGACUGCUGGUGACGGCAAAGGAAAAAACGAGGAGCGUGAUGAGCAUUACGCCGUCAUGGCGAAGAGGUACAAAGCAAGGAGCUGGCGGCGGCUCCAUCAUCGCCGACGAAGCCUGCCAGGAGGAUGAGACUGCCCAGGAUACACGGGCCACGCGCGCGUAA